rnacentral:lncRNA from 1 species
ACUUUGUUUCCUCUGAAGACCCAACAAGAAGGAAACAAUCUUCAGGCAAUCGACCUCCAAAGCAUUCUCGAGGGAAGGAGCUCGGGGGCGAACAAAAGAAGAAGAGCUCUCACAAAGGGCCGAACCCGAAAGGCAAGGCCUCAAAACCUGGAGGAUGCUUCUUAUGCGGAGGACCGCACAUGGUAAGGGAGUGCCCACAAAAAUAGGCACUCAAUGCUUUGACGGCUUCCAUCCACCCUCCCCGAUCGGACAAGGGCAAAGCUGUUGCUCUUAGUUCAAGCAGUUCUGAAUCCAGCAGCGACGACGAGGAGUCGCAAGGACCCCGAAUGGGAGCAAUGCGUUUGUUGAACGCUAUGCGGGGUCAAGUGGGGGAGAACAUGAAGACAAAGGCACAAAAAGCAGGAAGUAGUGAGCUGAUGUA